AUUGUCCUACGGUAACCAGAACAAUUAAACCGACACCGUUUAUAAGGGAUGACGGAUGUUCUUUCUCGGAAGGAAAGCCCCUUUAAGGGGACUCCAGAGGUGAAAGACAGUCAACCCACCUUCACAUAUGAGGGCUUUAAUUAAUUAAGGUUACCCCCUGGGACAAAC
rnacentral:other from 1 species